rnacentral:rRNA from 1 species
CGUAGGGGGCAAGCGUUGUCCGGACUUACUGGGCGUAAAGCGCGCGCAGGCGGAUGGGUAUGUGCCGUGUGAAAGCGCCGUCCUUACGAUGGCGAGGUCAUGGUAGACAGCCCGUCUGGAGGCUCGAAGAGGUCGGUGGAAUUCCGGGUGGAGCGGUGAAAUGCGUAGAUAUCCGGAGGAACACCAGGGGCGAAAGCGGCCGACUGGUCGAGUACUGACGCUGAGGCGCGACGGCGUGGGGAGCAAACCGGAUUAGAUACCCGGGUAGUCCACGCAGUAAACGAUGCACACCCGGUGUGGGGGCUGGAUUUCCUCCAGGCCUCCGUGCCCAAGGUUACCUGAUGAGUGUGCCGCCUGGGGACUACGAGCGCAAGCUUA